GUUGGGUGUGCUUUUCCUAAUAUAUCUUGAUGGAUGAUCAGGAAAAAAAAGCUGGUGUGUCCAACAGCUUGAUAAUUUCAGGAUCAAAACAGAUUUUAUAUGUUGAUUUUCUUUCACUUGCUGAUGCAUUUUUUUAACCAAGCCGCUGGUGCAUAAGAUCUAGCCGGCAGCACACAGAACACAUUAGGAGAACAAAGGGAAUGUGAGAUUAAACCAAAAAGAGGCAAGAGCAGCAUUUCCUCACUGUUCUGCAUGAAGGCAGGAGCUGCUCCAAGACGAUGCAAACUCAGUUUUCUUAUUGGACUUAUGGCCUCUUCCCCUGUCAGAUUAUUCAAAGGGGACUUCAGCAAUGAAGGCAGGUAUGGGUUGUGCUGGCCAGCCACAGUGCCUGCUAGACUGCAGCCAGCUGGAGACACCUUUUUGUCCCAAAGCCUCUCUUCUGCAGCUGAACACUGAAGAAAGGCACUGAAGACAGGAAUUUGCAGAGAUGCUUUGCCGCUAUAUCCUGAAGAACCCUCAUGAUUCCUGCACAGGCACCAGAAUUGCACAGACUCUCUACUACUGAGGUGCCCUAGGUAGGUAAAAAUGCCCAUCCC
rnacentral:lncRNA from 1 species